CGGUUGAUCCUGCCGGAGGUCACUGCUAUUGGGAUUCGACUAAGCCAUGCGAGUCGAGAGGGUUCGGCCCUCGGCUGACGGCUCAGUAACACGUGGAUAAUCUGCCCUUAGGUGGAGGAUACCCUCGGGAAACUGAGAAUAAUACUCCAUAGGCCUAGGAUGCUGGAAUGCACCUAGGCUGAAAGUUCCGGCGCCUAAGGAUGAGUCUGCGGACUAUCAGGUUGUAGUCAGGGUAAAGACCUGACUAGCCUACGACGGAUACGGGUUGUGAGAGCAAUAACCCGGAGAUGAUAUCUGAGACACGAUAUCAGGCCCUACGGGGCGCAGCAGGCGCGAAAACUUCACACUGUGCGAAAGCACGAUGAGGGAAUCCCAAGUGCUUGCACGUAAGUGUAAGCUGUUUUUCUGUCUAAAACACAGAGAGAGUAAGAGCUGGGUAAGACGGGUGCCAGCCGCCGCGGUAAUACCUGCAGCUCAAGUGGUGGCCGCUAUUAUUGGGCCUAAAACGUUCGUAGCCGGUUUAGUAAAUGCCUGGGUAAAUCGUGUAGCUUAACUAUACGAAUUCCGGGUAGACUGCUGAACUUGAGACCGGGAGAGGCUAGAGGUACUCCUGGGGUAGAGGUGAAAUUCUGUAAUCCUAGGGGGACCACCAGUGGCGAANGCGUCUAGCUAGAACGGAUCUGACGGUGAGGGACGAAGCCCUGGGGCGCGAACCGGAUUAGAUACCCGGGUAGUCCAGGGUGUAAACGCUGCUUGCUUGAUGUUAGUUGGGCUCCGAGCCCAAUUAGUGUCNGAGAGAAGUUGUUAAGCAAGCUGCCUGGGAAGUACNNUCGCAAGGCUGANCUUAAAGGAANUNGNNNGGGGGANC
rnacentral:rRNA from 1 species